UAUACAAAGACUGCAACUUUAGGCAGAGGUGAAUGAUAAUAGCUGGAAAUUGGGAAAGCUAGGUUAAGAGCGCCUGAAAUAAAUAUCACAAUAGUAAGAUGGAGAACAAUGCAAAAUCAGCAAAGAAAUGUCCACAUAAUAAGGGAUUUAUUAAGCAAAUAAACUCAUGAUUAUUUUUUAAAUUUUAACAGAAGAAUGACUUGAAGAAUAUUUACAAUUACUGGAGGAAAGGCAAAUUACAGAACAUGCAUCUUUUACUUUUUUUUUUUUUUUUUUUUUUGAGACGGAGUCUCACCCUAUCUCCCAGGCUGGAGUGCAGUGGCACAAUCUCGACUCACUGCAACCUCUGCCUCCCACGUCAAGCAAUUCUCUGCCUCAGCCUCCCGAGUAGCUGGGGUUAUAGGCACAUGCCACCACGACCGGCUAAUGUUUGUAUUUUUAGUAGAGACGAGGUUUCACCAUCUUGGCCAGGCUGGUCUUGAACUGUUGAUCCCAUGAUCCACCUGUCUCGGCCUCCCAAAGUGCUGGGAUACUGAGUUUUGGUUGUUGUUUUGUUUUGAGAUGGAGUCUCACUCUGUCACUCAGGCUGGAGUGCAGUGGCACAGUCUUGGCUCACUGCACCCUUCACCUCCUGGGUUCAAAUGAUUCUCCUGCCUCAGCCUCCUGAGAAGCUGGGACUACAGGCACCUGCCACCAUGCCUGGCUAAUUUUGUAUUUUUAGUAGAGAUGGAGUUUCACCAUGUUGGUCAGACUGGUCUUGAACUCCUGAGCCCAAGUAAGCCACCUGCCUCAGUUCCCAAAGUGCUGGGAUUCCAGGCAUGAGCCACCAUGCCCAGCCGACACUGAGUUUUAUAUAUUGCAAGACAGUGCUAUUCGGGGGUUAAGAGGAGAAAAAUACACUCCACUUAGUACUGGUCAAAGUAUUACCAGAGAAGUAUAUCCUGCUUUAUGUUUCAUAACGUAAGGCAUUUACAUGUCAAGGCAUUUUACAAAGCUAAUUAAAUAUUGCCAGAUAUAUUACCCAAAUGGAAAUAAGCAAAAGAAAUACUGGGUUGACAUACAGUACAGGGCUAGUCUUGACUUACUAUUUACAAACUAUUUCUUAAUUCUGUAGGGGCAGAGACUAACUUGUAGAUACAACUGAGUUCAUUAUUCAUAGUAGUUAUGUUCUAUGAAGUUGCCAUGGGCCGGGCGCGGUGGCUCACACCUGUAAUCCCAGCACUUUGGGAGGCCAAGGCGGGCGGAUCAUGAGGUCAGAUUGAAGCCACUCUGGUUAACACGGUGAAACCCCGUCUCUACUAAAAGUGCAAAAAAAAAUUAGCCGGGCCUGGUGGCGGGCACCUGUAGUCCCAGUGACUUGAGAGGCUGAGGCAGGAGAAUGGCGUGAACCCAGGAGGCGGAGCUUUCAGUGAGCCAAGUUUGUGCCACUGCACUCCAGCCUGGGCAACACAGUAAGACUGUCUCAAAAAAAAAAAAAAAAAAAA
rnacentral:lncRNA from 1 species